GAAUAGCGAUCACCGGGGAAACGGAGGGGCGGACCAUGCGCGGAGGAACGGCGGUUACCGUGGAAACGGAGGGGCGCACGGAGGAAGGAAUAGCGGUCGCCGUGGAAACGGGGGGAGCGCACGGGGAAAGGAAUAGCGGCCACCGUGGAAACCUUGUAUCUCCCCCGGCGCCUAGAACAGUGCUUGUGAUCUCAUCUGCAAAAUGAGGAUGAAGACCGGGAGCCCCACGUGGGACCACCUGAUUGCCUCGUCUCUUCCCCCAGCGCUCAGAACAGUGCUCAGCACAUGGAUGUUUUGACACCCAGAAACCCCUAUAAAGGAAGCACAACCACUUUGACAACGAGUGUGCUGAAACCACUUAAGAAGAAUGAGCAGAUUGUAAAUCCCGGAGAACACGAAUGAUGGCUGAAAACUCUAAUAAAACGGGGAGCAUGAAA